rnacentral:rRNA from 1 species
AACGUAGGAGACAAACGUUAUCCGGAGUUACUGGGCGUAAAGGGCGUGUAGGUGGUAUCGUAAGUCUGGCGUGAAAUUUCUCGGCUUAACCGAGGCAGGUCGUCGGAUACUGCGAGGCUAGAGGACGGUAGAGGCGUGUGGAAUUCCGGGUGUAGUGGUGAAAUGCGUAGAGAUCCGGAGGAACACCAGUGGCGAAGGCGACAUCCUGGACCGGCAUUGACGCUGAGGCGCGGAAAGCUAGGGGAGCAAACGGGG